rfam:Stegodyphus mimosarum contig77715, whole genome shotgun sequence.
GCUUUCGUGGUGUAACGGUCAGCACGCUGGGCGCGUAUUCCAGAGGUCCGUGGUUCGAGUCCCAGCGAAGGCG